UGAGGAAUAUUGGUCAAUGGGCGGGAGCCUGAACCAGCCAAGCCGCGUGAGGGAUGAAGGUACAGAGUAUCGUAAGCCUCUUUUGUCAGGGAACAAAAGGCGCCACGCGUGGCGCUCCGAGUGUACCUGAAGAAAAAGCAUCGGCUAACUCCGUGCCAGCAGCCGCGGUAAUACGGAGGAUGCGAGCGUUAUCCGGAUUUAUUGGGUCUAAAGGGUGCGUAGGCGGCGAGUUAAGUCAGCGGUAAAAGCCCGGGGCUCAACCCCGGCCCGCCGUUGAAACUGGCUUGCUUGAGUUGGAGAGAAGUAGGCGGAAUGCGCGGUGUAGCGGUGAAAUGCUUAGAUAUCGCGCAGAACUCCGAUUGCGAAGGCAGCCUACCGGCUCCAGACUGACGCUGAGGCACGAAAGCGUGGGUAUCGAACAGGAUUAGAUACCC
rnacentral:rRNA from 1 species